GGCUCAGGAUGAACGCUGGCGGCGUGCUUAACACAUGCAAGUCGAACGGGGAUUAUUUUGACAGAGACUUCGGUUGAAGUCGUUAUAAUCCUAGUGGCGGACGGGUGAGUAACGCGUGGGUAACCUGCCUCACACUGGGGGAUAACAGUCAGAAAUGACUGCUAAUACCGCAUAAGCGCACGGGAUUGCAUGAUCCAGUGUGAAAAACUCCGGUGGUGUGAGAUGGACCCGCGGCGCAUUAGCUAGUUGGUGGGGUAAUGGCCUACCAAGGCGACGAUGCGUAGCCGACCUGAGAGGGUGAUCGGCCACACUGGGACUGAGACACGGCCCAGACUCCUACGGGAGGCAGCAGUAGGGAAUCUUCCGGCAAUGGACGAAAGUCU
rnacentral:rRNA from 1 species